rnacentral:lncRNA from 1 species
AGGGGAUGCGCUGGGUCCUGCGGAUAUGGAUAUCCUGAAAACACAGGCCCAGCUCACUGGGAAGUGAGCUCUCCACGGGAGACCACGGGAGACCAAAGGCGGCAUUGUGGGGAUAGACUGAAAACGUCUUGGGGAAUAGUCGCAGUGUCACAAGAACCACCCUGGCGCUUUGUUUAAUGCAUCUUUUGUGUGGAGACCCGGUGCUGAGUUCCACAGUGCAGUAUCAAAAGAGAGGAGACACCUUAAUCUGAUACUCUGGGAAGGGGAUCUAGCCUGUAUCAGGAAGCAGAGAGGGAGCCAAUCCAGAUGCUGCAAAAAGUCCUGGCAGGUGGCCCUUGGGUCCCCACCCAGAAGAACCCUGUGUGUCAUGACUGGAGAGAGGAGAGGCACUGUGGAAGCCUUCCAUUUCCCAGAAGCCUCUUCUUGUUUUGUCCCCAGGAAGAGGGUAUUCCUGAGCUUUCUCCUGAGAUGCAACCAAGCUACGUGACACAAGCUGGAUCCUUUUGAGGCUUACUUUUAAGUUUUGUUAGAUUCUGAACUCAGAGACUCCAUCAGGCUCCAUCUAUGCUCCCUCUUCCUGCAUCAGCAUCCGGUCACUUUCUCCAGACAGUCAGAGAGGUGAUCUCAGGGCCUACCCUCAAGCAUCAUUGUCCUGCCCCACCUGAUGUCCGAUGGCCUUGAAACUGUUGUUAGCAAUCAGACAUCUUCACCACCUGCCCCAGGGACCCAGCAACAGCAGGAUACAUUAUCACAGCUGCCAAGAUAGGACAUUCCUACUGUCGGCACGGGUAGCAGAUCCUCGCUACAUCUUCAGAUAAACAGCCAGUCCCCCGUCUCUUUGCUCCCCUUUUCCCUCCACCCUCGUUGAGAGGCAGCCUCUGUAUACCCUUUCCCCAAUAAACAUCCUAUGUGAGAUCUG